UACGUAGGGCGCGAGCGUUGUCCGGAAUUAUUGGGCGUAAAGAGCUCGUAGGUGGUUUGUUGCGUCUGCCGUGAAAACCCGAGGCUUAACCUCGUGGCUUGCGGUGGAUACGGGCAGACUUGAGGUAGGUAGGGGAGAAUGGAAUUCCCGGUGUAGCGGUGAAAUGCGCAGAUAUCGGGAGGAACACCGGUGGCGAAGGCGGCUCUCUGGGACGGUACUGACGCUGAGACGCGAAAGCGUGGGGAGCGAACAGG
rnacentral:rRNA from 1 species